rnacentral:ncRNA from 1 species
AUAGCGGAUGCCGAAAAGCUAUAAAAGAGUAGGCU